UAAUGUAAGCUCAACACAUUUGGUCUUAAUCUGAAUGCCUGGACUGGGAUGAGUUCUGUAGGGCUGCAAUAAAAUAAAUAUUUUCCUGCACUGAGAACACCUCAGGGAAAGGUUCAAUGUCAGGUCAGCAAAGGGAGCUCUUUAACCAUAUUUUGCUAGACAUGGACCAUAUCCUCCUCUAAGAAACUGUCAGAGCUCCAUAGUGGCUGGUGGUUAGGAAGUGAUUGAAAAUAUUCACCUCUUGCUCAUUUUAAAUGUUGGAUUUGGUUGGAAUUUGACCAAAGCUGGGCAGCGGGUACAGCCCCAGCUUGCAGCAACAAGAAUGUUUCCAGCAGAAAAACAAAAAUUAUUAGUGAGUGAAGGACUUUUGGUUGGAAUUCCCUUUCCUUCCCUGCCCUGCUCAAAUUGGAUUACUUGCAGGAACAAAGGGAACAAGCAGCCCUGCUGCAGCAGACCAGUCCCAGGAACCAAGAGAAAUGUGAUCCACAGAUGCAUUAUAAAAAGGGAAGGCAGAGGUACCGGGGCAGGAAGUUUGCCUUUUUGCUGCAGUGAGACAGUGCCUGAAUAUUUUGUGACAUUGCACAUCUGGUGCAGAACUAACCUGAACAUCAAAAGAAUUUGUUAAGGACUCCUUUCCUGGGUGCUGGAGGGAGAAUUUCCCUGGAGCUGGCUACAAGAAGGAAUGUCUGUACAGCCAUAUCUGGUAAUGUUCCUGUGCCUUACUGGGACCAUCCCUUUCCCUCCACAGUCUGCAGGAGGGCCUAGGACAGGGGUUUAGGUGGGCAAUGGAGUGGACAAGGUUUGUCAGCUCUGAGGAAAGUGCAUGGCCCAGGAGAGGCUGAAAAUAUUAAUGGAUUUCUUUCUGUAAAGAUUAAACUGAACUUCUUUGUGCAAAAAGUAAUGAUACUUAGUGCUGGGCUUGGUAGUGUUAGGUUAAUGGUUGGACUUGAUAAUCUUAUUUUUUUUUUCCAAACCUAAAAUAUUCUGUGGCUCUGUAUGAUACAAGAGGACUAAAAUAUCUUUUAUUUUUCCCCUUAGCAAUCUUAUUAGCAGCAUUCAGUGAAGUGAACACAUGUUCAGGGAUGCCCCAAGCAUGAACCCACAUCUGGGCAGUACCACCUCCAGGAUGGAGGCCACUGGGAAUCCUUCCUGGGGCUGUGGGGGUUUUUCAGGAUGUGCUGUUAUGCAGGGCCCUUGUAGCUGUUGGGGAGUGGCUCCUCAGGAGGCUCCACCAGCCAUUUAUGAUGGGCUCAGCCACCUGAGCUUGCUGAGCCAGCCCUGCCCUCUCCAGACCAAGGAAAUAAAGGUGCUUCAUCAGCCUGUACA
rnacentral:lncRNA from 1 species